UUGAAUUUUAUUGUUCAAGUGCGAAAAACAUAAUAUUUAAUAAAUAAAAGUAUCAUACAAACCGUUAUAAAAAGCUCCUCUGGGCGUAAUAUAAAAUCUGAAAACUUCCAGAUUUUUUUAAUUGAAUUUAUUUAUAAAAGUAUCAUACAAAACGUUAUAAAAAGCUCCUUUGGGCAUAAUAUAAAAUCUGAAAACUUCCAGAUUUUUUUUAAUUUAAUUUUGAAUUUGUGGGUAAAAGUUGUGUGUUUGUUCCCUGUUGUAGAUCUUUUAAUUCUGAAUCAAUAAAUGUUUCAGUUGUAAAGAUACCUCAAUAAAACGAGAGAUAUCGUCAGAAAUUCUACUAACAUGUCCAUGGACGUAUUUGGAAAAGUCUUGCCCUUUUCUAUAUUCUGUAAGUUUCAGAAGUUCAUGUUUUUGAAGACCUAGAAAAUAUUUUUUACGAAGUUUUCAGAAGAAUUUAACUUUACCCUUUGGCAACCAUCGGAAUAGGUUGUGAAUAGCAGUCAGUCAGUUCAUUCUUUUCAAAACCGUGUGACUAUUCUGAGCUUCUCGCUGAAUAAUUACCGCUUUUAUUUUUUUUUUAUCUGCAGCAUUACUCACAUGUUGAAGAGAGUUUCGCCUAAUGUCACGUUCAAGAGGGGGGGAAGAGCUGUUUAUCUUACUUGUAAGUUUUUAUUUAUCUCAAAAAAGGCUCAAGUUUUUCCUGCUCGUCUCGCCUAAUUAUUUAUACAGAUCCCUAUAAAGCCAUAGCACAUAUCACUAUGAAAGAUAGGUGCAAUUCAAGACGGAUAUUUAAACCGAGCCGUCAGAAUUAGUUUCUACUAUCUGAAGGACUAGGUCAGCUUCUGACGAAAUGGAUUCCUGGAUCCCUGGCCACGCUGGCAUACAAGGGAAUACAACUAGCGGACAUUAUAGCUAAAACUGCUACUACAAUGUCUAAUUUCCCGAUCCCACUCACAGAUAUCAGGGUGAUGACCAAACGUAAAUUUUUUAAUAAAUGGCAGAGUGACUAGGAUAACCAAACCAACAACAAGCUGAGAAGUGUUAAACCCGCAACUGAAUGUUGGCCGUUCUAUAACAAAUAUAAGUUUUUUUUAACCCGGUUGAGAAUUGGUCAUUGUCGCCGAAAGGAAAGAAGCCGAAUAUCUGCCGAAAGGAAAGAAGAAUCGCCGUUGCGCAAGGUGCAAUGCAGAUCUGAUAGUCCGUCAUAUUUUAUUGGAAUGUCCCACUUUAUUAUUUUCGCCAAAAACAUUUUAAUUGUUUAAAAUUGGAUUUAAAAACUUAAGAGGAAAAAAGCAUUAUCAUAUAUUGUCUCAGUUUUUAAAUGAUAUUGAAUGUUACUAUAAAGUGUAAACUGUU